rnacentral:lncRNA from 12 species
CACUCAGUUGAUCCCACCUUGAGGCAAGAAGGAUUGUCUUUUGUACGUCCAUGUCAAUGAAUCAUUGACUACAUGACGCCAUCUCCUCAGAGAGUGCUAUGUGUAACCUCUCAAUGUGCUCUCAUUCCUUUCAUGGGUGCCAAUUUACUAGAGAAGGAGGGCAACUGCAAGUAAUUUCCAGCCAACUGUCAAAGCAGCUGGGGAAUAUGUGCACCAUCUGGGAAAAAGCAUCUGACUGGCUACCAACAUGCUUAUUAUAAACAUUAUCACUCCACUGGCCACUCAGGGUCACAACUCCUUUCCCAUCAAGCCAUGCUGCAUCAGUCACUAAAUGUUGAAAAUUCUUCCUUCACACUUUUCUUUCUUGUGUUCUGCCCUUAUUUCUUUCCAGCCACCACUUGGAGCAGUUCGAGAUCUUACUGACUCACGCUCAAUCUACAAUCUUAUUUUCCUAACAAAUCUCAAGAGUUCCAGAGGCAAAAAAGGCAUCACAGGCCCAGAGAUGUCAUGAAUAAGACCUGUCAGACAUUGGAGCCUACAUCCACUCUUCUCUGGUGCAGUGGGCAGGACCUUAAUCUCAAAUACAGUAAGGUAAAGUGGAAAUCAUGUGAGAGCACAAGAAAUAUAAGUAUUGUCUACUUGACACUACAGUAUAAAAAGGGAGUUAUUAAAUUACUACUUUAAGAUCUUAGUUAUACUCACAUUUUUUUCCUGAUGGUACUUGACAUGAACUUCAAUAUCUUUUGUAGAGGUGGUGGAAAUCAAGAGGUAAAAUCUUAUGAUUUAGAAUGUCAUGCUUUCAGAAUAGAAUUGUCUAUCUAUAAAGGAACCUCCUUUUUAUUCCUCAGGAAAAGAAAUCCAUGGAAGGAGGCAAAAUCUAUUUUUUAAAUAACAUAUUAGUAAGCAAAGUAGGGGAUAAUAAUGAGUUUUAUUGCGUAAAUAAUAACUCACAACUGGACUUAUAAUCCCCUGAAAAUUCUCUUGUUAGAAGUCAGAAGUUUCCCUUCAAGCAUAUUCUUCCAUGGAUAAGUUUAAUAUUUAUUCAAGGAGUCAUCAAAGAGCAUUAGCAAGUGCAGGACUUGUUAGCUUUGUGACCAUAUCUUAGCUGUGUGAUCACUUAUUAGCUCCGUGAUCUUGAGUAAAUCACUUUUCCUCUCUCUGUCAGAAUUUCCAAUUGAGUAAUAUCUAUCCCUACCUACUUCUAGAGGAUUAUGAUCAGGCAAGUCUCCAUUUCACAUUGAUAAACACUGCAUUUCACAUUUCAUCCUGUUCUGUUCUACUCCACAAUAUGAGUUAAUUGAUUUAUGACCCAAUUCAAAAAACUAAGAGAAAAAAAUGCAUAUCCCUUAAGCUCGGUUUUUUGAUAAAUUAUAUCUACUGGAAAUAAAAUCAUGGUAGUUAAGGUUUCA